CUGAAUAACUACGCUGAUCGCACGGUCUCGCACCGGCGACGCAUCUUUCAAGUGUCUGCCUUAUCAACUUUCGAUGGUAGUUUAUGUGCCUACCAUGGUUGUAACGGGUAACGGAGAAUAAGGGUUCGACUCCGGAGAGGGAGCCUGAGAAACGGCUACCACAUCCAAGGAAGGCAGCAGGCGCGCAAAUUACCCACUCUCGGCACGAGGAGGUAGUGACGAAAAAUAACGAGACGGAUCUCUCUGAGGCCCGUUAUCGGAAUGAGAACAAUCUAAAUCCUUUAACGAGGAUCUAGCGGAGGGCAAGUCUGGUGCCAGCAGCCGCGGUAAUUCCAGCUCCGCAGGUGUAUAUCUAUGCUGCUGCGGUUAAAAAG
rnacentral:rRNA from 1 species